ACGGAAGGCAGCAGUGAGGAAUAUUGGUCAAUGGACGAGAGUCUGAACCAGCCAAGUAGCGUGAAGGAUGACUGCCCUAUGGGUUGUAAACUUCUUUUGUUCGGGAAUAAAGUGAGGGACGUGUCCCUUAUUGCAUGUACCGUUCGAAUAAGCAUCGGCUAAUUCCGUGCCAGCAGCCGCGGUAAUACGGAAGAUGCGAGCGUUAUCCGGAUUUAUUGGGUUUAAAGGGAGCGUAGGCGGACUGUUAAGUCAGCUGUGAAAUGUCAUGGCCCAACCUUGGCAUGCCGUUGAAACUGGCGGUCUUGAAUACACACAAGGAAGGUGGAAUUCGUCGUGUAGCGGUGAAAUGCUUAGAUAUGACGAAGAACUCCGAUUGCGAAGGCAGCCAUCUGGGGUGCGAUUGACGCUGAGGCUCGAAAGUGCGGGAAUCAAACAGGAUUAGAUACCCUGGUA
rnacentral:rRNA from 1 species